UGACGAGCACAGAUAUUUGUUUCUGAGUCAUGGGUGUUUUCUAUGUAUUUAAUAUUUAUAAAUAUUAAUAUAUUAUAUAUAUCGUUGUCUAAGUACCCACAACACAAGCCUUAUUGAGCUUAAUAUGGGACUAAGUCAAUUUGUGUAAUAAUGUACUA